GACGAACGCUGGCGGCGUGCUUAACACAUGCAAGUCGAACGGAAAGGCCCUGCUUUUGUGGGGUGCUCGAGUGGCGAACGGGUGAGUAACACGUGAGUAACCUGCCCUUGACUUUGGGAUAACUUCAGGAAACUGGGGCUAAUACCGGAUAGGAGCUCCUGCUGCAUGGUGGGGGUUGGAAAGUUUCGGCGGUUGGGGAUGGACUCGCGGCUUAUCAGCUUGUUGGUGGGGUAGUGGCUUACCAAGGAUUUGACGGGUAGCCGGCCUGAGAGGGUGACCGGCCACAUUGGGACUGAGAUACGGCCCAGACUCCUACGGGAGGCAGCAGUGGGGAAUAUUGCACAAUGGGCGGAAGCCUGAUGCAGCAACGCCGCGUGCGGGAUGACGGCCUUCGGGGUGUAAACCGCUUUCGCCUGUGACGAAGCGUGAGUGACGGUAAUGGGUAAAGAAGCACCGGCUAACUACGUG
rnacentral:rRNA from 1 species